GACGAACGCUGGCGGCGUGCUUAACACAUGCAAGUCGAACGGAAAGGCCCUGCUUUUGUGGGGUGCUCGAGUGGCGAACGGGUGAGUAACACGUGAGUAACCUGCCCUUGACUUUGGGAUAACUUCAGGAAACUGGGGCUAAUACCGGAGAGGAGCUCCUGCUGCAUGGUGGGGGUUGGAAAGUUUCGGCGGUUGGGGAUGGACUCGCGGCUUAUCAGCUUGUUGGUGGGGUAGUGGCUUACCAAGGCUGUGACGGGUAGCCGGCCUGAGAGGGUGACCGGCCACAUUGGGACUGAGAUACGGCCCAGACUCCUACGGGAGGCAGCAGUGGGGAAUAUUGCACAAUGGGCGGAAGCCUGAUGCAGCAACGCCGCGUGCGGGAUGACGGCCUUCGGGUUGUAAACCGCUUUCGCCUGUGACGAAGCGUGAGUGACGGUAAUGGGUAAAGAAGCACCGGCUAACUACGUG
rnacentral:rRNA from 1 species